UUCCAUGUGCUGCUGCAGCUGUGGCACUAAAAAGCCAAAAAAAAAAAGGAAGAAAGAAAGAAGAAAAGAUAUGCACCCCAGCGUCCACUGUGGCACUUCUCACAACAGCCGAAACAAGGAAGCCACCGGAAUGUGCUUCGACAGAGGGAUGAAGAAGCCGUGGUACGUGUACACGGUGGGCUAUUACUCAGCCGUUAAAAGGAAGGAAAUAACGCCGUUUACGACAACAUGGAGGGACCUAGACGAGAUUCUGCCACGAGAAGUCCGACAAAGACCAGUUAUCACAUGAUAUCACUUCUCGAGGACGCUGAAAAAUGAUACGAAUGAACUUCUUUACAAAACAGAAACAGAUGCACAGACAGAGAGAACGAAUUUGCCGCUACCACAGGCGAAAGGGGGGGAAGGAGGGAUAGAUUAGGAGUUUGGGAUGAAGAGAUUCACGCCUCUCUCUCUACAAAACAGAUAAACAACCAGGCCCUCCUGUUCAGCAGAGGGGAGGAUACUCAGGAUCCCGUAAUCAAUCAUAAUGGAAAAGAAUAGGAAAAAGAAGACGUAUGUAUAUAUACGCAGGUGUAACUGGACCUUCAUGCUGUAUCCCUGCAACAUUAGCAAUCGCUCCUUUUUUGUGUGUACUUGCUUCAUUUUUGCCCAUUUUGCCUUAUUGCUCCUCUUCAACACCGCACAGUAUUUUAUAUUCCCUUUUGUCUUCUAAUACGUCUCCUGGGUUUUGUGAAAUCUGAGGGCAAUUUGAUAUUUGUUUCUUUUAAGAAAACUUGUUUACGGCCUGCAGGCUGGUGGCAAUUUUCCUGAUGAUUUUGCCAUAAACAUUCAGUGCUUCCAGAUGUUUAUUUCUGUAAAUUGCCCUUUAACUGUGUGCUUCGAUCCGUACCUCUUAGUCCUUUUCCCCAACCCUGUGUCCAGUCUCGGCUCCGCAUAAACUCAGGGUCUGUGUUGUUCUUCGGGGCCUUUAACCCGGUUCUUCUGCACUGGGGUUUGGGGGGGCUCGUCAAGGGUCCCCCACAGUUGUGACCCAUUCACCGUUCACUCUGUGCCGAUUUCCUUCCUUUCUUGCGCUUAUUUUAAUUUUUCAUUUUCUCCUCCUCAUCCCCUUUCUCGUAAGUGUUUUGGGCCUUCCCUCGGCUUCCUGGAGACCUUUGCUGAAGCCCGUUAAAGUCAUGCAACAACCUAGAAAAAAAGCCCUGUUCGAGAUACGGGGUCGGCUUUUGGAGGUUUUUCCUGGUUUUUCCAUUUGGGGGGUGACUUCAUUUCCCUGACCUGUUGGGCGAGUCCCAGGCUUUCUGUGUGGGUGCCUGUGAAUAUAUAAUUCAGCCUGAAAGGAGCUCAACCAGACCCGGGCAGAUCAAGGCCAGCCCCCAGCGUCCCUGUGUCCCUGUGUGAGAGGUGCCCUUUCACUCAGGUGACGGGAGUUGGAGGGUAGCUGGAGCUCUGUCCAUGUCGGCUGAACUUCCAGGUGGGGUGGCCCACACAGAGCACCCACUCAGCGCCCCGGUGGGUCUUGGGGGGCCCUGACCUCACAGGGUGCACACACUCCCCCCGGCUUGGCCACCUCGCCACUCUGCCUCCUCCAGAAACACUGUCUCAUCAGGACGGCACGAUCCAGAAUUUCCCGUGUCUCCCAGACUGCGACGUCCCUUCUUUUCUCUUAUUUUUGUGCGGACAUGGCAGGAGGAUGGAGAAUGAUGGUUGUGUUGCUGUGUUGCUGUCACAACACCCAUUUAUAGCAGAGCACUGGCUGCCAAGUUUCCUGCUGCAGGGGGAGGGCAGUAGAGAGUGGAGGGAGAAGGACCUCUCCGAUCGCUGUCUGUCUGUCUGGCAGUUUGCUCUGCUUGGGACAGCAAAGAGAACACGUGUCAGAUGCUCUUCAGUUUCAGAUUAUAGCUCUGCGGAUAAAAUUUUCUUUCUAAGACAUGCGUAAUACAUGCCAUUAUGCUUUGCCAUGUUCACAUUUUAAUUUAAUGUUUAAAAUUGAAGCGUAGUUGGUUUCCAAUGUGUUAGUUUCAGGUGUAUGACAACGUGAUUCAGUCUUAUACACAUACGUUCUUUUCCAGAUUCUUUUCCACUAUUAGAAGGUAUCAAGUAGAUUUGCCUGUGCUAUGCAGCAGGUCCCUGUUGUUUACCUGUUUUAUAUGCAGUAGUACCUGUUAAUCCCAUCCUUCUAACUUAUACCCCCGCCGCACCCCGCUUGCCCCUUUGGUAAUCGUAAGUUUGUUUUCUGUCUGGGUGUCUGUCUCUGUUUUGCUUUGAGGGCUAUUUCAGAGACUCCUGGCUAGAAUUCAUGCUUAAAAACAUGCAUCCUCAUGGAGGUUCUGGGAAUCCUAUUUCACGAUCCUAAAUGAUUUUCAUUAGCUGGACACUUGAACUUUGCUGGGUGUCAAAUGCUUAUCAAACGGCAUCAGCUCCGUUGAACAAUUAAGUGACCUCAUCGGGGAGUCACUAACUCCCGGUUGGUUCUUAGUUAGGAGAGUGGGCUGACCGGCCGAACUGAAGGAAGGACGGAAGGAAGGAAGGGAGGGGAGGGUGGGUGUCUGAGGUCCUGAUUCUAAAAUCUGCGAGAUCAUUAGAAACAUGCUGAAAUGAAAGGGCAUUUUCCACCUGCAGAUCAAUGUAAGUCAAAGUCCUAAUUAAAGAAGAAAACACAACAUUCCAAUAAGCCAACAUUUUGUUUUAUGUGCAUAUAUGCCAAUAUUUUAUAGUUAAGAGCCACAGCCAGAAUACAAAUUCUAUCUGGACAGUUUUGUUGAUAUUUGUGGUAUAAAUUUAGAAGCGUAGGACAUACUAUGCUUUUUAUAAACGUCACAGCUUAUUGAGUCACUGAAAAGCUGGCAAAGAUCCACAGCUUUGCCGUAUUUCAGUAAUAAUCCCAGGCUGUUCUUUUGUGUAUUCCUGUCUGCCAAGUCCCUCCACCAAACAAUUCAUUUAUUUCGCAUUAACUUCAGUGGUGUUCCCAGUUACUUCAUCCAUAGCCUCCAAAGUAUGCAGUGAGGCUUGCCAAGUAUUUUCGCAUGUUUCUGCUUUAUUUAUGGUUUACUUGUUUCCAUAGCUUUCAAUUCCAGACUUAUUAACCGACAUAAGGAAGGGCGCCUUCGAUCCGCCCCCCGCUCAUGGCUACCAGACCUUCUCUGAAUACCGUCUCUUCGGAGAGAUGACCUGGCCACGCAGGGUUUUCCUCCUGUUGAUUCGUCCCCCUGCCAUUGAAACUGAUCUGCCAUUUCCCCUUCAGGAAAAUGGUUUCUCCAGGGACACUUGCCCUUGUGCCAACGAGUCAGGCCAACCGUCUGGAGUGUCCCCCUGUGGGAUGCAGGAGCUACAUCCUCUUUUUCUAAGAGUGGCCCGAUUUGGCCACAAGCCUGCCUUGCCCUCAAAUUGCCGUCAACAUGGAGAAUUACUAAGAAGGAUGUCUUGGUAGGAAGUCCUGUGACUUUUCACAAGGAACAUCCUGAAAGGCACAGUAUUUUCUGCCUUCCAAAAAGAAAAUAAUAAUUACCUUUAAAAUUACAAUGUGUAAGUUUUUGUCAGAAAUUCUGCUCACAAAGGAAUGUGAGCUGAGAGCUUUUCAUGUCAACCUGAGGAUCUACGACCAAGUCACGGCCCCAAGAGUGUCUGGAAGACACAGGUCCAAAUACCGUCCUAGUUAGCAUUGUUAGGCGAAGAUUAGUCAGUUUACCACGGAUUCCCGGGGCACCUGGAACACGAUUGUUCAUCAUAAAGAAAAAAAACACACAGAUUAUUCCACUCCACGUAGAUGAAAUGCUCAUUCUGGGUUUAUAAGACCCAACAAAGCUUAACAAGCUCAUCACCUUUUAACAAAGAUUUUAGUAACAUGCUGCUGAAUAAGACCAACGAGGAAGCAUUUUCAAUUAUGCCAUGACAUGCUCUUGUCCCUUGUACUAUAAAUAAGAGAGUCAGGGACGGUCACUCACACUGUCGCAGGCUGGAAUUAUUUGCUGCCUGAGGUCACGAAAGCUGCUUCUGGAUCACAGGUUAAUGACCCAACGGUUUUUUCUAGAAGGGGUGAGCUUAUGUGUGAGCGUGCGUGUGAAUCAAGUCAGUUGCUAAUUCCGUUCCUCUGUUCACUAGGACGGGGUCUAUUUUGAGCAAAUGAGGUCAAUGAAGUUGCGGGGAGAAGCGCGCGGCGUUGCCCGUGACUUCCGCACGUGGGGCAUUUUUCCACCAAGAGAAGAAGUUUGGCUUUAGGGAUGAGAAAUGCAGAAGGACACCAGGGUGGAAUGUUAAUGUGUAUCAUCAUAAGAAGGAACACUUGUUUUGUUUACACAACUGUGUCUCCAGACCUGAAGCAUCACCAUGCGGAGAAUCAGCGGAAUUACUUCCAGGUUUUCCCCACGGUCCGCAUUUGGUACAUACUCGCCGACAGGCCCAAAGGCUGUCUCUGCUCUGAACUUCGAACAGUGAUCAUUGCAGAAUUACAGAGAAACUGAUGGGCGUUCAACCACUGGCUGAGAAAAUGUUUUUGUUAAAAACAGACACGUAAAAAGAGGGAUAGUGGUGGUACCUCAAACCCACAGCGGCAAUUCCCCGCGUGUUGGGAGGAAAAGCCACGUUUUUCUGCAUGUUGUCUAAUGAGACAAGGAGGUGGGGGACAGCGGGUCCAGAAUGGGGGUUCCCUGCGCCCCGAAGCUUGGCCUGCGGGAGGGACCACGUGUCCUUGUGUGGGGGUGACAACAUCCGCACUGCCCCCACCCCAAGACCCUGGAAAGCGGGAGGAUGCGUAGGCUGGAAUCUUCUUUUAAAAAUUAAAUAUCUAUUUGGAACAUGAACUAGAAAUACCGAUGGACAAGCACACUCUAUAAAUAGCAUCUCUGUCCUGGCUCGUGACUGCAUCCAGUCUGUGACCUUCGAAGGCCUCUGAAAGGGCAGAGCCCGCCGCGGCCGCUUGGACGGUUCUUAUCCCCAGGCCGGGCUGAAGGGAGCGUCUGGGGCCGCCUGGUGGUGUCUCCAUAAACACAGAUAUCCUCAGGGCGCCAGGCCACCCCUCUCUUUCCAGACAUUCCCCCCACCCCGGAACGCCUCUCAUGGUGUGGAGACCACCCCCAGCCUGUCAAACCCACAGAGCUCCCACCUUCAAACGUGCCCUCUUUGCCUGCACCCUUGGAGGGCAGGAGCCGAGUCUGGCUUAGGGCUGUAUGGCUGGAUCUGACCGUGACACCGGAGGCCUGGCGAGUGGGUGAUCUGUGUCUCUCAAACUCAGUAAGCCCUCUCCAGGCCUGAGGAUGAGGGCUUGGCAUCCCCAGGAGGCAGAAAGGCGGACCCUCAAGCCCACCCAGACCUGCGGAAUCAAUCUGCGUCCAACCAGAUCCCCAGAUGCGGUCCAGGCACAGCUUUGAAAUGUGAGGAGCCAUGAAGAAUCGACUGGUGUGGGCGAGGCUCUGCUCAGGACAGGCUUUGCUUCUUACACAAAUUAUAGCUGUUGGGAGGCUUGAAGGGGACCAUUCUCACAUUCGAGGCCACACACCCAUUAGCUAAGACGUCAGGACCGCCGCUGUUCAGACGGAGAUUUCUGUGACAUCACUGACGUCCCUGCUUCAAAGACACCGCAGUCUCAGUACAACUGGCAUGUGAGUCCCACUUUCGGCUGAAUCUUGCACGUCGAGGGUGAAAGGCGGCAACUGCGUGUCAUGAAACACAGUCUACUCCUUCCUCUAAAGAUAAAGAAAAAACCCACCCUGUCGCAGCUUCUGAGUGAAUUUUACCUGGAACUUAACCCAUUUUCUGAUCCGUGAUCCACUUACUUGUGUGUUUAUCUUCUGUAUCAUUCCACAGUGGAACUGAGUUGCCUUCACACACACACAGACACACACACACACACACACACACACACAC